AAAUGCGGAAAGUUGGGUUAAGUAAGAAGUUUCGUUUAUCCAGAUCAAGUAUGAAGAUAACAGUUGCAUUAUUCAUGUACCCUCUAAGAGGCUGUACGGCAUUGAAUGAAAUCUUGGAGCUGGAAAGGAUGUGAAACUGGCCAUGGACCAUUUUAAGGUACUCUCCCAACAUCUGCCUGCAGGGACUGAGGAUACUGGUCACCUAGUUCAGAAUCAAACUGGGGCUCCCUCAAAUACAAAGCCAGAAUACUAACCAACCAACCACAGCAUUCUGGAUUCCCCUAGAAUUAGAAUUUGAUAGCUUAAUGAGUAUUAGUACUACUACUAAAUGUGUUUGUAAUGUCAUAUAAAUUCAAAAUAUUUCCAAGGUUUCCAUGUUAUUACUGUCCAUUUUAUCAAACAGUUACCGUAUUAACACUGUAUUACAAAGAUGAUAUUUCUAAUGGAGUGAUGUUCAUACAGUGUUACAUGACAUUUGGUUGCUUAGUGCCUAUGCCAGCUCUGAUGUCCACAGCUGAAUAUGAGGAUGGGCAAAUUAAGUUUACUAAUAUGAUUCUGAAGGACAUACUUGCUUCUUCAGAAUUAUAAAGAGAACUCCACAAUGACAAAUACUUCAAAAAGAAUUAUGCAAUUCUGUACUGUGCUGCAUAAGCUAUGAGGGAGAGUCAGUAAAUAGGUCACAAAUGGAUAUAAAAUGUAAAACAUGUGAUAUUCGAACGUUGAAAAAGAAUUUGUUUCUCAACGUAUCCUCCACCAACAUUGAUACACUUGUCCCAUUGCUUUACCAAUGCAUCAAAACCAGCAACAUAGAAGUCUUUUGACUGUUGUCUCAGCUACUUCCCCUCCUCCAUUGUAACCUCUUCUUCAGCAAAACGUCUGCCACCAAGGUGGUUUAUUAGCAGACCAAACAUAUGGACAUCACUAGGGGCCUAGUCUGGGCUGUAAGGCAAAGGUUCAAGAAGUUGCCACUGUAGUUCUUUAAUUCUUUCCUGGGUUCCUCAGGCUGUAUGUGGUCUGGCACUGUCAUGAUGAAGCAGUAUUCCUUUUUCCAGUUGGCCUGGACAUUCUGCGAAUUGCAUCCUCAAGCUUCAACCAAACUUCACAGUAUGAUACAGAAUUCACAUUUUCACAAUGCUUCUGAAAAUGGGCUAACAGUACUCCCUGAGAAUCCCAAAACAAGGUAAGCAUAACCUUCCCAGCUGACAGUGUUAACUGAACUUUUUGAUUGAAGGUAAACUGGGAUGUUUCCACUACACUGAAGCAGCUUCAGUUCAUGUUGGUAGUGAUGCACCCAUGAUUUGUCCCCAGUAUCAAUAUUUUCACCCCAUUUGCUUCAAUUUUCUCAGUCCUUCAGUUCUCUGGGCACCCACCAUGUGCUUUCUGAAACUCAAACGAUUAUGCAUUAACCCUUGGACCACCCCAGUGCAGUUGCUACACUAUCGUCAUCAUCCUGUCAGCUCAAAUCAACUCUUCCACCGGCUGAACAAUUGCUCCUUUUGCAAUCUAAACAGAGUGAUCUGGUUGGGCAUCAUCUGCGACUUUCAAACAUCUGAGAGAAUUUCUUGACCCAGUUGUGAACAGCUUUACAUGACAAACAUUUCCCACUGUAAACAGGAAACAUUUCUUUAUGAACAUUCUUUGCAUUGCUUCCAUUUGCCCACAAAGGACACACAACAGAAUGCAACCCUUCAGUAGCACACUCAAGCAUGGAUGCCAUUUUGACUACUGAAACCAGCCUCUGAACAUGUGCAUGCAUGCCUACUACCUAACGAUGCACAUAAAAAACCUAUUAUGUGCAGUACAGCUGUUUUACUUCAAUUUGUGACAUAUUUACUGACUCUCCCUUGUAUUAUUUAGAAUGGUGCCAAGGAAGGAAAAUAGACGAAAACGAAAAGCACCUGAAGAUGGCACUUUUGUGCUGAAACAUGUAUAAGAGAGAAGAGUAAGGUGAAUAAAUGUAUGCACUGUAAGACAGUUAGAAUAAAUCAUGGAGGAAAAUAGAGUUGGACUAGGGCUGAAGGAUGUAGUAAAGGGUAAGUUGCACAAAUGUCAAAUGUUUAACAUUCAAGUUAUGGCAUUUGCAUCUGCUGUAUGCAAAAGGUUUGCUCCAUGUGAAAGGAAAGAGUGAAGUGACACAUGCCAAACAAUUUUAAUACAAUGGGGAUUUUUUUAAUAGCUUAAGAAACAGUCUUCAAAGUUCACAUUACAACUGCAGAAAGUUGACGAGCACUAAGUAAUUAAAUCUUUAAUAAUAUUAAAGCUGCUCUAAAAUGUCAGGAAUUUAAAUAAGGUUUGCAUAAAAGAGCAGACUUAAAUUUUUUUGUUGUUGAAAAUGAAAUAUUUUCUGGCUUUCAAGGAAAAACUGACAUUUCAUAACUGGAUUGACAAUUCAGUUGCUGUUUCUGUUGUGUCUAUAACAUCUCACAUUUGUUUCUGCCAUGUUUAUGCUGACUGGCAAAAUAUAAGUGUCAUGGUUUUGUAUGCUUUAUGUGUGGGUGAUGACAUGUGAGAAAAAAUAAGAGGAUAAGACGAAAUUUUAUUGGUUAGCUAAGCCUGAUAAUAAUUUUAUAUGCAAAGAAACAUUUUAACAGUCAAUUAUUUUAAUGUGACACAAAACAUAAACAUACGAAACAGACGUAACAAAACUGACCACACAGUAACUUGAUAUAAAAGAACUGCAACAAUGAUUACAACUGUCAACAAGUAACCACCAAUAGCUGCUUCAUAUUCAGAAAACAUGACCAUAGGAAUAUGAAAAAAAUCAACAAUAAAUUUCUUCAAUUAACUAUUUUUUUUAAUUCUUAAUAAUGUGUCAAUGGCGCAAUAAUAUUGUGACAUGUCAAACCGUUGUUUGUCCAUGUCGAGCUGAAGUGCGCUGGUUGCUAUGCAGCGUUGUGCAGCAACGCUUCUGUAAACAGCAAUUACACAACAGUGAAGCGAGGUGUGUUUCCACUGCCCGACUGAGGGUUUAUAACAGUAACUGGAAUGCCUAAGGAGUUUAGUUGAAGGCUGACAGUCGCCGAGUACAGUUGAAGUCUGAAAGGACUAUAGCAGAAGAAGUAAAUGUGACACUGUGAAUUAUGUAAGUGUGGAUAAAAAUGUACAAUGAAUAUUCACUAAAUCCGAAGUGGCGCGAGUUAUUUGUUACGCCACACAGGAAACACGUGACAAUAUCAAAUGUACACUUAUCUGUCUUCUAUUGCUGAAAAGUACCAUGAACACGUUCUUAAACAUAAUUAUGGCAGGUUCCAUACCAUAUUACACCAAUCAAUAAAAUG